GGGGGGGGGGGGGGGGGGGGGGGGGGGGGGGAGGGGGGGCGGGAGGGCGGGGGGGGGGUGGGGGGCGGGGGGGGCGGACGGGUGAGUGACGCGGGGGUAACCUGCCCUUGACUGGGGGAGAACGUCAGGAAACUGGGGCGAAUACCGGAUAGGAGCGCCUGCUGCAUGGUGGGGGUUGGAAAGUUUCGGCGGUUGGGGAUGGACUCGCGGCUUAUCAGCUUGUUGGUGGGGUAGUGGCUUACCAAGGCUUUGACGGGUAGCCGGCCUGAGAGGGUGACCGGCCACAUUGGGACUGAGAUACGGCCCAGACUCCUACGGGAGGCAGCAGUGGGGAAUAUUGCACAAUGGGCGGAAGCCUGAUGCAGCAACGCCGCGUGCGGGAUGACGGCCUUCGGGUUGUAAACCGCUUUCGCCUGUGACGAAGCGUGAGUGACGGUAAUGGGUAAAGAAGCACCGGCUAACUACGUG
rnacentral:rRNA from 1 species